ACAGCAGUAGCCGCGGGAAUACGUAGGGUGCAAGCGUUGUCCGGAAUUAUUGGGCGUAAAGAGCUCGUAGGCGGUUUGUCACGUCUGCUGUGAAAACCCGAGGCUCAACCUCGGGCCUGCAGUGGGUACGGGCAGACUAGAGUGCGGUGGGGGAGAUUGGAAUUCCUGGUGUAGCGGUGGAAUGCGCAGAUAUCAGGAGGAACACCGAUGGCGAAGGCAGAUCUCUGGGCCGUAACUGACGCUGAGGAGCGAAAGCAUGGGGAGCGAACAGGAUUAGAUACCCCUGUAGUCCCUGUCUCUUAUAC
rnacentral:rRNA from 1 species